rnacentral:rRNA from 1 species
GCCUUCGCCACGCCCGACUCAGAAACUACAAAGGAAGUUGACGGGACCCCGCCACAAGCGGUGGAUCAUGUUGUUUAAUUCGAUGAUACGCGAAGAACCUUACCAGGUCUUGACAUCCCCCGCGAUGCUUUAGAGAUAAAGCGGAGGUAUUCGGGGAGACAGGUGGUGCAUGGUUGUCGUCAGCUCGUGUCGUGAGAUGUUGGGUUAAGUCCCGCAACGAGCGCAACCCCUAUUGCUAGUUACCAUCAUUAAGUUGGGGACUCUAGCGAGACUGCCAGUGAUAAACUGGAGGAAGGUGGGGAUGACGUCAAAUCAUCAUGCCCCUUAUGACCUGGGCUACAAACGUGAUACAAUGGCUGGAACAAAGGGAUGCGAAGCAGUGAUGUGGAGCGAAACCCAUAAAAACAGUCUCAGUUCGGAUUGAAGUCUGCAACUCGACUUCAUGAAGUCGGAAUCGCUAGUAAUCGCGGAUCAGAACGCCGCGGUGAAUACGUUCUCGGGGUUU